CAGUCGCCGCGGGAACACAGAGGGUGCAAGCGUUAAUCGGAAUUACUGGGCGUAAAGCGCGCGUAGGUGGUUUGUUAAGUUGGAUGUGAAAGCCCCGGGCUCAACCUGGGAACUGCAUCCAAAACUGGCAAGCUAGAGUACGGUAGAGGGUGGUGGAAUUUCCUGUGUAGCGGCGAAAUGCGUAGAUAUAGGAAGGAACACCAGUGGCGAAGGCGACCACUUGGACUGAUACUGACACUGAGGUGCGAAAGCGUGGGGAGCAAACAGGAUUAGAUACCCCCGUAGUCCCUGUCUCUUAUAC
rnacentral:rRNA from 1 species